CUGAAACUCAAGCCACCGUCAUAUUCACACGCACACGGAAAUAUAAGAUUCCGCAAAAUUUCUGCAAAAGUUAUCAAAUAUUAUAUAUCAUAGGGGAAGUUUGGUAAAGCUCGGGGUGAACUUUGCGACGAGAUUAAAAAUUAAAGAAAGCUCAGAGAAAGUCGUGGUCACUUUGGAGCCUAGUUAGAUUAUAAAGAAGCGACGUGUGUGUGUGCGCGGCUGGCGCGGCGCCAACUCCGCGAGCAGCCUCUGUGGAGGUGGCACAGUAAUGAACA